rnacentral:rRNA from 1 species
CCUACGGGGCGCAGCAGUGGGGAAUAUUGCACAAUGGGGGAAACCCUGAUGCAGCGACGCCGCGUGAAGGAUGAAGUAUUUCGGUAUGUAAAGCUCUAUCAGCAGGGAAGAAAAAAGACGGUACCUGACUAAGAAGCCCCGGCUAACUACGUGCCAGCAGCCGCGGUAAUACGUAGGGGGCAAGCGUUAUCCGGAUUUACUGGGUGUAAAGGGAGCGUAGACGGCGCGGCAAGUCUGAUGUGAAAGGCUGGGGCUCAACCCCAGGACUGCAUUGGAAACUGUUAGGCUAGAGUGUCGGAGA